rnacentral:rRNA from 1 species
AUUGAACGCUGGCGGCAGGCCUAACACAUGCAAGUCGAACGAGUGGCGGACGGGUGAGUAAUGUCUGGGAAACUGCCUGAUGGAGGGGGAUAACUACUGGAAACGGUAGCUAAUACCGCAUACCAUCGGAUGUGCCCAGAUGGGAUUAGGUAGUUGGUGGGGUAAAGGCUCACCUAGGCGACGAUCCCUAGCUGGUCUGAGAGGAUGACCAGCCACACUUGAACUGAGAAACGGCCCAGACUCCUACGGGAGGCAGCAGUGGGGAAUAUUGCACAAUGGGCGCAAGCCUGAUGCAGCCAUGCCGCGUGUAUGAAGAAGGUCUUCGGAUUGUAAAGUACUUUCAGUGGGGAGGCGUUACCAACAGAAGAAGCACCGGCUAACUUCGUGCCAGCAGCCGCGGUAAUAC